UACGUAGGCAGCGAGCGUUGUUCGGAAUUACUGGGCGUAAAGAGUGUGUAGGCGGUGUUCCCAGUCUGUUGUGAAAUCUCCCGGCUUAACUGGGAGGGUGCAGCGGAAACUAGAAUGCUAGAGGGUGGGAGAGGUAAGCGGAAUUCCUGGUGUAGCGGUGAAAUGCGUAGAUAUCAGGAGGAACACCUGUGGUGUAGACAGCUUACUGGACCAUUUCUGACGCUGAGACACGAAAGCGUGGGUAGCAAACAGG
rnacentral:rRNA from 1 species